UACCGGUAAGCGUGACACAAAGGUUAUUACGCUGGCACGAUAACAUCCGGGCAUAGCUGACGUGUUUGACUGACGAGCUCUCAGACGUCGCUGCAGGAGCACGCCAUUUGCGGACGGCCGGCUGAUACUUAUCUGCAGGACUGCUUUCGCACAGUAACACUGACAAUGAUAAUUAUACACUUCCCUUGUAUCUUGACAUGGCUGACGUGUAGUUUAUAGAAGCUUCGAUUCUGUGUAUCUUCAAGGGAUGCUUUUUCGAUUCGAAGCAUUUUGUUCGAUUCGUAUAGAAGUUUGUGUUCGUUAAGUGUGCCGACUUUCGGUAUUACGCUGCGAAUGUUAAUAAGAUGGACAGUGUAAGCAACGCUGAUAUAACAGAAAUGAAGGUCAUGUGCCCGGUCCAUACAGUUAAGGUACGAAAUUUGAAUUUAAAUUUAUAUUCAAAUGUAAUGUAAAUUUGAAUUUGCAUUUAAAAUUAACACUAGGUGGUUUUCAGAUUUUGAGAUUCUGUUGUUUUUGGUAAUUACUGAAAGUAUACAAGUGCUCUGUUGACAAACUUGAUGAUCAGCGAUGUUGACAUGGGAUCAAGAUUAUAUUUACAAGCAUCGACUAAAGUCAUUACACAGACUGGAAGCGAAAAGUAGGAAACUGUCGAGGAAAAGGCAACCGGACACCUUUCUCGUUAAUAGAGAACGGCGGAACUCUUUCUAUCAACUUUCUAGUCUCGUCACGGCAAUUAGCAAAGUACCUGCACGUGCGGAUAAAUCCUCUCGUGGCAGAAGCGCGACUUAUUUAUAACCAUCCUUGUCCCGAGACCCGACUAAAGGGUUAAAAGCGAAACAAUUCCACGGUCGACAUUGUUUUGAUGCGGUCAGAACUGAGAAAGAUCGGUGAAAAGAUGCAUAAACCCCACGUCGUGUGCCAGCUUUUCAAAACGGAAGCUUCGACGUGAAACCCGCUGGUCUUUCCAUCCCCUGACAUUUUCCCUUUUUCUUCAUCCUCGUUCUCCCUUCUCGUGGCCACCGCUGAUUAUCCAUCGACUAUUUCCAACGCUGCCUCCAGCUGGUUUUCGCCGUUUUUCCUCGAGAUUCUCUUGUUCGACGCACCAGCGUUGGGCUCAGUUCGACAGAAGAUGAGCAUUCUCGAGGGAGGAAUAAAGAGAAGACAAGUUUUAAAUAAUUCUACAACGAA